rnacentral:rRNA from 1 species
UACGAAGGGGGCUAGCGUUGCUCGGAAUCACUGGGCGUAAAGGGCGCGUAGGCGGCCACCGCAAGUCAGUUGUGAAAGCUCUGGGCUUAACCCAGAAAGGUCAGCUGAUACUGCGGGGCUAGAGUGCAGAAGGGGCAACUGGAAUUCUCGGUGUAGCGGUGAAAUGCGUAGAUAUCGAGAGGAACACCUGCGGCGAAGGCGGGUUGCUGGGCUGACACUGACGCUGGACAAGCGCGAAAGCUAGGGGAGCGAACGGG